AACGUACGCUGGCGGCACGCCUAACACAUGCAAGUCGAACGAAGUAGCAAUACUUAGUGGCAGACGGGUGAGUAACAUGUAGGUAUCUGCCCUUUGGCCUGGAAUAACACGAGGAAACUUGUGCUAAUACCGGAUAAGUCUUUACGGAGAAAGCUUUAUGCACCAUUGGAUGAGCCUGCACUUGAUUAGUUUGUUGGUGGGGUAAUGGCCUACCAAGACCGUGAUCAAUAGCUGAUUUGAGAGGAUGAUCAGCCACAUUGGGACUGAGACACGGCCCAAACUCCUACGGGAGGCAGCAGUGGGGAAUCUUGCACAAUGGAGGAAACUCUGAUGCAGCGAUGCCGCGUGAGUGAAGAAGGCCCUUGGGUUGUAAAGCUCUUUCGUCGGGGAAGAAAAUGACUGUACCCGAAUAAGAAGGUCCGGCUAACUUCGUGCCAGCAGCCGCGGUAAUACGAAGGGACCUAGCGUAGUUCGGAAUUACUGGGCUUAAAGAGUUCGUAGGUGGUUGAAAAAGUUAGUGGUGAAAUCCCAGAGCUUAACUCUGGAACUGCCAUUAAAACUUUUCAGCUAGAGUAUGAUAGAGGAAAGCAGAAUUUCUAGUGUAGAGGUGAAAUUCGUAGAUAUUAGAAAGAAUACCAAUUGCGAAGGCAGCUUUCUGGAUCAUUACUGACACUGAGGAACGAAAGCAUGGGUAGCGAAGAGGAUUAGAUACCCUCGUAGUCCAUGCCGUAAACGAUGUGUGUUAGACGUUGGAAAUUUAUUUUCAGUGUCGCAGGGAAACCGAUAAACACACCGCCUGGGGAGUACGACCGCAAGGUUAAAACUCAAAUGAAUUGACGGGGACCCGCACAAGUAGUGGAGCAUGUGGUUUAAUUCGAAGAUACGCGCAGAACCUUACCAACACUUGACAUGUUCGUCGCGACUCUAAGAGAUUAGAGUUUUCGGUUCGGCCGGACGAAACACAGGUGCUGCAUGGCUGUCGUCAGCUCGUGUCGUGAGAUGUUGGGUUAAGUCCCGCAACGAGCGCAACCCUCACUUUUAGUUGCCAUCAUUAAGUUGGGCACUCUGAAAGAACUGCCAGUGAUAAGCUGGAGGAAGGUGGGGAUGACGUCAAGUCCUCAUGGCCCUUACGUGUUGGGCUACACACGUGCUACAAUGGUAUCUACAACAGGAAGCAAGACUGCGAAGUUAAGCAAAUCCCUAAAAGAUACCUCAGUUCGGAUUGCACUCUGCAACUCGAGUGCAUGAAGCUGGAAUUACUAGUAAUCGUGGAUCAGCGUGCCACGGUGAAUGCGUUCCCGGGUCU
rnacentral:rRNA from 1 species